UAGGGAAUCUUCCACAAUGGACGCAAGUCCGAUGGAGCAACGCCGCGUGAGUGAAGAAGGUCUUCGGAUCGUAAAACUCUGUUGUUAGAGAAGAACACGAGUGAGAGUAACUGUUCAUUCGAUGACGGUAUCUAACCAGCAAGUCACGGCUAACUACGUGCCAG
rnacentral:rRNA from 1 species